rnacentral:rRNA from 1 species
CAGUGGCGAACGGGUGAGUAACACGUGGGCAAUCUGCCCUGCACUCUGGGACAACACCGGGAAACCGGUGCUAAUACCGGAUACGACGUACCUCGGCAUCGGGUGUGCGUGGAAAGCUCCGGCGGUGCAGGAUGAGCCCGCGGCCUAUCAGCUUGUUGGUGGGGUGAUGGCCUACCAAGGCGACGACGGGUAGCCGGCCUGAGAGGGCGACCGGCCACACUGGGACUGAGACACGGCCCAGACUCCUACGGGAGGCAGCAGUGGGGAAUAUUGCACAAUGGGCGCAAGCCUGAUGCAGCGACGCCGCGUGAGGGAUGACGGCCUUCGGGUUGUAAACCUCUUUCAGCAGGGAAGAAGCGCAAGUGACGGUACCUGCAGAAGAAGCACCGGCUAACUACGUGCCAGCAGCCGCGGUAAUACGUAGGGUGCGAGCGUUGUCCGGAAUUAUUGGGCGUAAAGAGCUCGUAGGCGGCCUGUCGCGUCGGAUGUGAAAGCCCGGGGCUUAACCCCGGGUCUGCAUUCGAUACGGGCAGGCUAGAGUUCGGUAGGGGAGAUCGGAAUUCCU